GAUGAACGCUGGCGGCGUGCCUAACACAUGCAAGUCGAACGAAGCAAUUAAAGGAAGUUUUCGGACGGAAUUUGAUUGACUGAGUGGCGGACGGGUGAGUAACGCGUGGAUAACCUGCCUCACACUGGGGGAUAACAGUUAGAAAUGACUGCUAAUACCGCAUAAGCGCACAGUACCGCAUGGUACGGUGUGAAAAACUCCGGUGGUGUGAGAUGGAUCCGCGUCUGAUUAGCCAGUUGCGGGGUAACGGCCCACCAAAGCGACGAUCAGUAGCCGACCUGAAAGGGUGACCGGCCACAUUGGGACUGAGACACGGGCCCAAACUCCUACGGGAGCCAGCAGUGGGGAAUAUUGACACAAUGGGCAAAGCCUGACUAGCAAGCGACGCCGCGUCGAGUGAAGAAGUA
rnacentral:rRNA from 1 species